GGUUAAAACUCAAAGGAAUUGACGGGGACCCGCACAAGCAGCGGAGCGUGUGGUUUAAUUCGAUGCAACGCGAAGAACCUUACCCGGGCUUGACAUGCGAGUGGUAGGGAAGUGAAAGCGGACCGACCCUUCGGGGAGUUCGCACAGGUGCUGCAUGGCUGUCGUCAGCUCGUGCCGUGAGGUGUCCGGUUAAGUCCGGUAACGAGCGCAACCCUUGCUGUAUGUUACAAGUGUCAUACGGGACUGCCGGUAUAAAGCCGGAGGAAGGUGGGGAUGACGUCAAGUCAGCAUGGCCUUUAUGUCCGGGGCUACACACACGCUACAAUGGUCAGUACAAUAGGUUGCAAAACUGCGAAGUGGAGCCAAUCCAUAAAGCUGGCCACAGUUCAGAUUGCAGGCUGCAACUCGCCUGCAUGAAGUCGGAGUUGCUAGUAACCGCGCGUCAGCAACAGUGCGGUGAAUACGUUCCCGGGUCUUGUACACACCGCCCGUCACGUCAUGGAAGCUGGCAACACCUGAAGCCGGUAUCCUAACCGCAAGGAGGGAGCCGUCAAAGGUGGGGCUGGUGACUGGGACGAAGUCGUAACAAGGUA
rnacentral:rRNA from 1 species